CAGGCUUAACACAUGCAAGUCGAGGGGCAGCAUGGUCUUAGCUUGCUAAGGCCGAUGGCGACCGGCGCACGGGUGAGUAACACGUAUCCAACCUGCCGUCUACUCUUGGACAGCCUUCUGAAAGGAAGAUUAAUACAGGAUGGCAUCAUGAGUCCGCAUGUUCACAUGAUUAAAGGUAUUCCGGUAGACGAUGGGGAUGCGUUCCAUUAGAUAGUAGGCGGGGUAACGGCCCACCUAGUCUUCGAUGGAUAGGGGUUCUGAGAGGAAGGUCCCCCACAUUGGAACUGAGACACGGUCCAAACUCCUACGGGAGGCAGCAGUGAGGAAUAUUGGUCAAUGGGCGAGAGCCUGAACCAGCCAAGUAGCGUGAAGGAUGACUGCCCUAUGGGUUGUAAACUUCUUUUAUAAAGGAAUAAAGUCGGGUAUGGAUACCCGUUUGCAUGUACUUUAUGAAUAAGGAUCGGCUAACUCCGUGCCAGCAGCCGCGGUAAUACGGAGGAUCCGAGCGUUAUCCGGAUUUAUUGGGUUUAAAGGGAGCGUAGAUGGAUGUUUAAGUCAGUUGUGAAAGUUUGCGGCUCAACCGUAAAAUUGCAGUUGAUACUGGAUAUCUUGAGUGCAGUUGAGGCAGGCGGAAUUCGUGGUGUAGCGGUGAAAUGCUUAGAUAUCACGAAGAACUCCGAUUGCGAAGGCAGCCUGCUAAGCUGCAACUGACAUUGAGGCUCGAAAGUGUGGGUAUCAAACAGGAUUAGAUACCCUGGUAGUCCACACGGUAAACGAUGAAUACUCGCUGUUUGCGAUAUACUGCAAGCGGCCAAGCGAAAGCGUUAAGUAUUCCACCUGGGGAGUACGCCGGCAACGGUGAAACUCAAAGGAAUUGACGGGGGCCCGCACAAGCGGAGGAACAUGUGGUUUAAUUCGAUGAUACGCGAGGAACCUUACCCGGGCUUAAAUUGCAGAUGAAUUACGGUGAAAGCCGUAAGCCGCAAGGCAUCUGUGAAGGUGCUGCAUGGUUGUCGUCAGCUCGUGCCGUGAGGUGUCGGCUUAAGUGCCAUAACGAGCGCAACCCUUGUUGUCAGUUACUAACAGGUUCCGCUGAGGACUCUGACAAGACUGCCAUCGUAAGAUGUGAGGAAGGUGGGGAUGACGUCAAAUCAGCACGGCCCUUACGUCCGGGGCUACACACGUGUUACAAUGGGGGGUACAGAGGGCCGCUACCACGCGAGUGGAUGCCAAUCCCAAAAACCUCUCUCAGUUCGGACUGGAGUCUGCAACCCGACUCCACGAAGCUGGAUUCGCUAGUAAUCGCGCAUCAGCCACGGCGCGGUGAAUACGUUCCCGGGCCUUGUACACACCGCCCGUCAAGCCAUGGGAGCCGGUGGUACCUGAAGUGCGUAACCACGAGGAGCGCCCUAGGGUAAAACUGGUGACUGGGGCUAAGU
rnacentral:rRNA from 1 species